rnacentral:rRNA from 1 species
UCACGANGAACUCCAAUUGCGAAGGCAGCUUACUAGGCUACAACUGACGCUGAAGCACGAAAGCGUGGGGAUCAAACAGGAUUAGAUACCCUGGUAGUCCACGCAGUAAACGAUGAUAACUAGCUGUUUGCGAUACACAGUAAGCGGCACAGCGAAAGCGUUAAGUUAUCCACCUGGGGAGUACGCCGGCAACGGUGAAACUCAAAGGAAUUGACGGGGGCCCGCACAAGCGGAGGAACAUGUGGUUUAAUUCGAUGAUACGCGAGGAACCUUACCCGGGCUUGAACGUAGGGAGACAGUUCUGGAAACAGAAUCUCUAGCAAUAGCUGCCUACGAGGUGCUGCAUGGUUGUCGUCAGCUCGUGCCGUGAGGUGUCGGCUUAAGUGCCAUAACGAGCGCAACCCACAUCGAUAGUUACUAACAGGUUAAGCUGAGGACUCUAUCGAGACUGCCAGCGUAAGCUGUGAGGAAGGUGUGGAUGACGUCAAAUCAGCACGGCCCUUACGUCCGGGGCGACACACGUGUUACAAUGGGAGGUACAAAGGGCAGCUACCUGGCGACAGGAUGCUAAUCUCUAAAACCUUUCUCAGUUCGGAUUGGAGUCUGCAACUCGACUCCAUGAAGCUGGAUUCGCUAGUAAUCGCGCAUCAGCCAUGGCGCGGUGAAUACGUUCCCGGGCCUUGUACACACCGCCCGUCAAGCCAUGGAAGCUGGGGGUGCCUGAAGUAUGCAACCGCAAGGAGCGUCCUAGGGUAAAACCGGUAACUGGGGCU